UGGUGGAGCGAUUUGUCUGCUUAAUUGCGAUAACGAACGAGACUCAGGCCUACUAACUAGAAGACAGUUCUUCGAGACUGUCAUACUUCUUAGAGGGAUAAGGGGAUUGAAGCCCCAAGAGAUUGAGCAAUAACA
rnacentral:rRNA from 1 species